CAUUAAAUGGCUGAAUUAGAAGCGUUAGUUUUUUAAACUACAUUAUAGUAUUAUUACUUUUAAUGA
rnacentral:tRNA from 1 species